CACACUUCUGCUUGUGAUUUGUAUCUGGGACUCGGAGCCCCAGCUUUGGCUUCCAGAAUCUCUGAAUUGACAGGUUCAAAAGCAUCAAUUGUACAAGUGCCAGCUGGAGGAGACCUUGCCUGAAUGCAGUUUUCUGGUAAUGAGAUCCAUCAGAGAUGACAUGAGGACAUGGUCUAUCCUGGUUUGGGUGAACAGACUGGCUUAAUGAGCUAGUAAGCAUCCAAGGUGAGUAGAAAUCUGAGAGAGGGUGGAUAGGAUGAGGUGAAUUAGAGAGUGUUGAAUUUGA